rnacentral:ncRNA from 1 species
AACAAAAGGAAACAAUUUGGUUUAAAAAAUAAAUUUUGGGUGAAUCCUGUGUAAUUCAGGAACUGUGCCGCAACUGUGUUUCGGCUUCGCCUCAACAUAAAUUGAGGAGCUUGGAAGGAGAAGUUUACUCUGAACGAGCGAAGCGAGCUGAAGAGUCAGAUCCCUUUAUCCCGA